GUAUAAAAAGCGAGAAAUUUGCAUUCGGUUUCGGCCCGUAUCUUAGGGGUGGUAAGUCCUCUUUUAUACUUAAGUAACUGGAA
rnacentral:tRNA from 1 species